rnacentral:rRNA from 1 species
AUUGGACGCUGGCGGCAUGCUUUACACAUGCAAGUCGAACGGCAGCACGGGCUUCGGCCUGGUGGCGAGUGGCGAACGGGUGAGUAAUGCAUCGGAACGUGCCCAUUUGUGGGGGAUAACUACGCGAAAGCGUGGCUAAUACCGCAUACGCCCUGAGGGGGAAAGCGGGGGAUUCUUCGGAACCUCGCGCAAUUGGAGCGGCCGAUGUCAGAUUAGCUUGUUGGUGAGGUAAAGGCUCACCAAGGCGACGAUCUGUAGCGGGUCUGAGAGGAUGAUCCGCCACACUGGAACUGAGAUACGGUCCAAACUCCUACGGGAGGCAGCAGUGGGGAAUAUUGGGCAAUGGGGGAAACCCUGACCCAGCAACGCCGCGUGAAGGAAGAAGGUUUUCGGAUUGUAAACUUCUGUCCUUGGUGAAGAGAAGAAGACGGUAGCCAAGGAGGAAGCCCCGGCUAACUACGUG